rnacentral:rRNA from 1 species
UACGUAGGGGGCAAGCGUUGUCCGGAAUUAUUGGGCGUAAAGAGCUCGUAGGCGGUCUGUCGCGUCGGCUGUGAAAACUCGGGGCUCAACUCCGAGCCUGCAGUCGAUACGGGCAGACUAGAGUGCUGUAGGGGAGACUGGAAUUCCUGGUGUAGCGGUGAAAUGCGCAGAUAUCAGGAGGAACACCGGUGGCGAAGGCGGGUCUCUGGGCAGUAACUGACGCUGAGGAGCGAAAGCGUGGGGAGCAAACAGG